AAAAAUGGUUUCAAAAGUGCCAAGUUUUUAAUACUCAAUUUGCAUAAUAACGACUUAUUGUACAGUUGAAGGUUGCUGAC
ensembl:ncRNA AH10.10 ncRNA